GUUGUGCUGCGACGUUGGUGACUGCCAAUAAUGUUUUUGAUCUAUGUUUUGUCCGAUAAGGGAAUCAAAACGUUUUGGCAGCAGUAAACCGGGCUUGUACCCGGAAACUUCAAGCUAAACGCCCCGAUGCCCACCUGGUUUUACCAGGUCUAAAACUGAGGUAAGACGGCGUUGCGGUCAACUU
rnacentral:other from 2 species